GAUGAACGCUGGCGGCGUGCCUAAUACAUGCAAGUCGAGCGAACAGAUGAGGAGCUUGCUCCUCUGACGUUAGCGGCGGACGGGUGAGUCACACGUGGAUAACCCACCUAUAAGACUGGGAUAACUUCGGGAAACCGGAGCUAAUACCGGAUAAUAUAUUGAACCGCAUGGUUCAAUAGUGAAAGACGGUUUUGCUGUCACUUAUAGAUGGAUCCGUGCCGCAUUAGCUAGUUGGUAAGGUAACGGAUUACCAAGGCAACGAUGCGUAGCCGGCCUGAGAGGGUGAGCGGCCACACUGGAACUGAGACACGGUCCAGACUCCUACGGGAGGCAGCAGUAGAGAAUCUUCCGCAAUGGGCGAAAGCCUGACGGAGCAACGCCGCGUGAGUGAUGAAGGUCUUCGGAUCGUAGAACUCUGUUAUUAGGGAAGAACAAAUGUGUAAGUAACUAUGCACGUCUUGACGGUACCUAAUCAGAAAGCCACGGCUAACUACGUG
rnacentral:rRNA from 1 species